UUGGAGGGCAAGUCUGGUGCCAGCAGCCGCGGUAAUUCCAGCUCCAAUAGCGUAUAUUAAAGUUGUUGCAGUUAAAAAGCUCGUAGUUGAACUUCGGGGUCUACCCAUUGGUCAGGCUUAAUUGUCUGCACUGGUGAGAUGGAUCUCUACCUUCUGAGGAACUUUCAUGCCAUUUAUUUGGUGUGAUGGGAAAUCAGGACUGUUACUUUGAAAAAAUUAGAGUGUUUAAAGCAGACUAUCGUCUGAAUACAUUAGCAUGGAAUAAUGAAAUAGGACGGACUGAUUCUAUUUCGUUGGUUUCUAGGAUCACCGUAAUGAUUAAUAGGGAUAGUUGGGGGCAUUAGUAUUCAAUUGUCAGAGGUGAAAUUCUUGGAUUUAUUGAAGACUAACUACUGCGAAAGCAUUUGCCAAGGAUGUUUUCAUUAAUCAAGAACGAAAGUUAGGGGAUCGAAGACGAUCAGAUACCGUCGUAGUCUUAACCAUAAACUAUGCCGACUAGGAAUCGGGCGAUGUUGACAAAAUGACUCGCUCGGCACCUCAUGGGAAACCAAAGUGUUUGGGUUC
rnacentral:rRNA from 1 species